GAAAGUUGCCUGGAAGACAAAAAAAAAAAAAAAAAAAAGCCAGAAAUCCUGUGACUCUGAUUGCUUCUUUCUUUUUUUUAAAGGUUGAAAAAAAUCUUACUAUUUUAAAGUUGAGAGCCCCAAAUGAUCUCUUUGGAAUAAAAGGAGCUACCGUGCAUGGGUACUGGGCUGGCAGAGAAACCCGGGAAGUGUGACCUAGAGCCAAAGAAAAAGCUGCACUUUGGGGCAAUUUCAUAGUAGGGUACCUUCCUGACACCGGCACACACUGGAGAGAUUUCAUUCGGGAGAGUUUAAUGGUAUGUUGACUGUCUCUACACUGACGCACUGCAAAAAGAAUCUACUGCAGCAAAACAGAGCACGUGGAUAUUGCUUUUUAAAGGGCUUGCCCAGGCUAAACUUUCAAGGAAAACAAGCUGAUCAGUUGAGAGAGUGAAGGAUAAAAGCCCAGAAGACGUCGAAUCAGUUAACACGAUGAACUGCCAGUUACAUCCCUGCUUAGUUUCUAAAGGUAAGAUUUGAUUACUUGCUCGGAGGCGACAUCACAGCUCUAAGUCCCUGUCACUGCUGCCCGUGACUAAGCGACUGUCACUCUGGCUCUUAGUUUGCAGUCCUACUGUUCUUAACAUCUUAUUAUCCAGGAAAAGCUUAGGACAAGCCAACCAAGUGAAAUAUCCAAAACAAAUGUGACGAGCGUGCAAG